rnacentral:misc_RNA from 1 species
UGGCCGUCGUCCUACAAGCGC